rnacentral:tRNA from 1 species
CGGCAUAGCUCAGUUGGUAGAGCAACCGCCUUGUAAGCGGUAGGUCCCCAGUUCGAAUCCGGGUGCCG